GGGAGCUUGCUCCCGGAUGUUAGCGGCGGACGGGUGAGUAACACGUGGGUAACCUGCCUGUAAGACUGGGAUAACUCCGGGAAACCGGAGCUAAUACCGGAUAGUUCCUUGAACCGCAUGGUUCAAGGAUGAAAGACGGUUUCGGCUGUCACUUACAGAUGGACCCGCGGCGCAUUAGCUAGUUGGUGGGGUAAUGGCUCACCAAGGCGACGAUGCGUAGCCGACCUGAGAGGGUGAUCGGCCACACUGGGACUGAGACACGGCCCAGACUCCUACGGGAGGCAGCAGUAGGGAAUCUUCCGCAAUGGACGAAAGUCUGACGGAGCAACGCCGCGUGAGUGAUGAAGGUUUUCGGAUCGUAAAGCUCUGUUGUUAGGGAAGAACAAGUGCGAGAGUAACUGCUCGCACCUUGACGGUACCUAACCAGAAAGCCACGGCUAACUACGUGCCAGCACGCGCGGUAAU
rnacentral:rRNA from 1 species